rnacentral:rRNA from 1 species
AUUGAACGCUAGCGGGAUGCCUUACACAUGCAAGUCGAACGGAGUGGCGAACGGGUGAGUAAUGAAUCGGACGGUGCCCAGGAGCGGGGGAUAACUACGCGAAGGCGAAGCUAAUACCGAAACCAAUGGGACCGGCCGUUAUGGGAUAGGCUAGUUGGUGGGGUAACGGCUCACCAAGGCGACGAUCCGUAGCUGGUUUGAGAGGACGACCAGCCACACUGGGACUGAGACACGGCCCAGACUCCUACGGGAGGCAGCAGUGGGGAAUUUUGGACAAUGGGGGAAACCCUGAUCCAGCCAGCCCGCGUGUGCGAUGAAGGCCUUCGGGUUGUAAAGCACUUUUGGCAGGAAAGCGGUACCUGCAGAAUAAGCACCGGCUAACUACGUGCCAGCAGCCGCGGUAAUUC